GAAUUGACGGGGGCCCGCACAAGCGGAGGAACAUGUGGUUUAAUUCGAUGAUACGCGAGGAACCUUACCCGGGCUUGAAAUGCAUUCGACGGGGUUGGAAACAGCCUUUCCCUUCGGGGCGGAUGCGUAGGUGCUGCAUGGUUGUCGUCAGCUCGUGCCGUGAGGUGUCGGCUUAAGUGCCAUAACGAGCGCAACCCCUGUCGUCAGUUACCAUCGGUAUAAGCCGGGGACUCUGACGAGACUGCCAUCGUAAGAUGCGAGGAAGGUGGGGAUGACGUCAAAUCAGCACGGCCCUUAUGUCCGGGGCGACACACGUGUUACAAUGGGCGGUGCAGCGGGGCGCUACCCGGCGACGGGGAGCCGAUCCCGAAAUCCGCUCACAGUUCGGAUCGGAGUCUGCAACUCGACUCCGUGAAGUCGGAUUCGCUAGUAAUCGCGGGUCAGCAUACCGCGGUGAAUACGUUCCCGGGCCUUGUACACACCG
rnacentral:rRNA from 1 species